rnacentral:rRNA from 1 species
AUUGAACGCUGGCGGCACGCCUAACACAUGCAAGUCGAGCGGCAGCGAGACUAGUAGCAAUACUAGUUGUCGGCGAGCGGCGGACGGGUGAGUAACACGUAGGAAUCUGCCCUUAAGCGGGGGAUAACCAAGGGAAACUUUGGCUAAUACCGCAUAAUCUCGAGAGAGCAAAGCUGCCCGCAAGGGUGGCACUUGAGGAGGAGCCUGCGUCCGCUUAGCUAGUUGGUGGGGUAAUGGCCUACCAAGGCGAUGAUCGGUAACUGGUCUGAGAGGACGACAAGUCACACUGGGACUGAGACACGGCCCAGACUCCUGCGGGAGGCAGCAGUGGGGAAUAUUGGACAAUGGGGGCAACCCUGAUCCAGCGAUGCCGCGUGAGUGAAGAAGGCCUUCGGGUCGUAAAGCUCUUUAGGUUGGGAAGAAGGGUAUUGGCUGAAUAAUCCAGUACUUUGACGGUACCGACAGAAUAAGCACCGGCAAACUCUGUGCCAGCCGCCGCCGUAAGAC